UCCCUAGUGGCUCAGACAGUUAAGAAUCUGCCUGCAGUGCAGGAGAUCCAAGUUUGAUUCUUGGAUUGGGAA
rnacentral:tRNA from 1 species